AGCCCUGACAGCCGUCCUCCGUCCUCCUCUGGGUACCAACUCUCUUACGCUGCGCACUGCCGUGCGUUUAACCCAGGCGAGGAGGAGGAGGAGAAAAUUCCCCCAGAUCCGGGCAGGCCCCGCACCCCACAUCCCGUCCUAUUUUGAGAGGAGGAGGGAAGAGAAAUAAACGUGGCAUCGCAUAUAAGGCCAGUAGGGUGGUUGGGCAAGGGUGACCGGAGGGGCACGCAAUUUGGAAACAAUCCGGCCCGUUCAUUCCCAUCCUCACUUUACAGAUACCUCCCCCAACCACCACUCCCCCUGCCCUCCGCCCGGCAGGCCCCCUGUCAUUAGGGGGUGCUGGGAAAUGGGUGUGCCAGUCUCUGUGGGGGAGAUGGCGGUUUUGGUGCUGUCUGGGCUUCACAGGAGGGGGGACCCUGAGACAAUCUGGUACUAAACCACCGUGCUACCCCCCAGGCUGCUUUCCAGACACCUCCAACCCAAACAGCCCUUCACCUCCGUUUAUUCAGUCCUGGAAAAGGAGUUCGGGAUGA
rnacentral:lncRNA from 1 species